rnacentral:rRNA from 1 species
GACAAACGCUGGCGGCAUGCCUAACACAUGCAAGUCGAACGGACAGAACAGGGAAGCUUUUCGGAGUGGAACUGGAAAGUUAGUGGCGGAUGGGUGAGUAACGCGUGGACAACCUACCUUGUAAAGGGGAAUAACCUCGAGAAAUCGAAGCUAAUACCCCAUAAUAACCUUGCUUCGCAUGAAGUAAGGAGGAAAGGCGGCCUUAGCGCUAUCGAUACAAGAUGGGUCCGCGUCUGAUUAGCUAGUUGGUGAGGUAAAGGCUCACCAAGGCGACGAUCAGUAGCCGGCCUGAGAGGGUGAACGGCCACAUUGGGACUGAGACACGGCCCAAACUCCUACGGGAGGCAGCAGUGGGGAAUCUUCCGCAAUGGGCGAAAGCCUGACGGAGCAAUGCCGCGUGAGUGAAGAAGGCCUUCGGGUUGUAAAACUCUGUCCUUAUCGAAGAGAGAGUGUUGUAGUAACUGACAAUACUAGGACGGUAGAUGAGGAGGAAGCCCCGGCUAACUAUGUG